rnacentral:rRNA from 1 species
AUACGGAGGACGCGAGCGUUAUCCGGAUUCAUUGGGUUUAAAAGGUGCGCAGGCGGCCGUGCAAGUCAGCGGUGAAAGCCCGGGGCUCAACCCCGGAAGUGCCGUUGAUACUGCAUGGCUGGAAUGCGGUCGAGGCGGGCGGAACGUGGCGUGUGGAGGGUGAAUGCGUAGAUAUGCCACAGAACGCCGAUAGCGGAGGCAGCUCGCCAGGCCUGCAGUGACGCUCGGGCACGAAAGCGUGGGGAUCGAACAGGAUUAGAUACCCUGGUAGUCCACGCCGUAAACGAUGGGCGCUCGUCGUCGGCGGCAGACAGUCGGCGGCCAAGCGAAAGCGAUAAGCGCCCCACCUGGGGAGUACGGUCGCAAGGCUGAAACUCAAAGGAAUCGACGGGG